UAGAGUUAGACUUGGAGUCCAGCCCCUAACCCCUAUGCAAGCCAACCUUCCUCUGUUGGUGCUGAUGAAGGAAACAAAGAGAAAGUGAGGAGGUCUAAGAAGGACUUGGAGGCUGGAGGAGGAAGAACAGGAGUAGGAUGAGGGAGAAGGAGAAGAAAGCAAGUACAAGAACAGGCACAAUAAUGAUGAAAGUGGAUAUUAGCAAAUGCCACCAAGUGCUGUGCUCCUGCAAGGCCUGAUUCCACUUAAUCCCCACCAGAGUCCUUUGAGAUUGGUAUUGCUGUCAUGCUCAUUUUACAGGAGUUCCUGUUGAUCUCCAUGAAAGAAAUAUCAGAAGUCAAUAUUAUCAUGCUUGAGGACCCAGCUCAUGACUGCUGUGUGUGAAGCUGUGAAGAAAAGUUUAGAGUUGGACACUUGUUUAAAGCACCAGGAAGGACCUUGACCCUGACACUGUUGGAACAGGUGAUACAGAAGUUAACUCUAAUACCCUGGACAAAACCCCAAUGUACAGUCAUGUUUAUAAUUUGCUUCCUCUAUCUGUAGGCUAGAAGGAUAAUAACCUACUAUUUUGUAGGCAACUGUUGGAAAGAAUAAGAAGCUCUACAGGAAGGGUUUAAAGAUACUUGGAACUUGGAUACAGUAUUUUAAAAAUACAAUGUACUGACUGUAAUUAUGAGCAUCAUCAGUUGCCUUGGAAAACCUUUAUUGAAACUCCAAGAGAGUUGAACACGGAUACAAUGCCAAAAAUUUAUAGGUAAUUGUGAUUUUCCUCAUCAUGUCUGUGUCUGGAAAUAAAGGCAUAACAAUAGGCUUUCACAGAGGGCAUGAGUACCUACCAUUAUGUUCCAGGCAUGGUGUAAACACAGUUCACGUACUCAAAGAGCUCACAAUACCUCUCUGGUCAAUACAAAAAGCUAACCUGGUCCCUCAAAUUCAUUAGAUUUGUCUGUCUGCAAGGGUCCCCACUUCCUAGGUAAUGGCUGCAUUGUUACUUUGUGUUUUCCAAUAAUAAAAAGCACCAUAUAAUAGACUAA